rnacentral:rRNA from 1 species
AUUGAACGCUGGCGGCAGGCUUAACACAUGCAAGUCGAGCGGGGAAGGGUAGCUUGCUACCUGACCUAGCGGCGGACGGGUGAGUAAUGCUUAGGAAUCUGCCUAUUAGUGGGGGACAACAUUCCGAAUGGAAUGCUAAUACCGCAUACGCCCUACGGGGGAAAGCAGGGGAUCUUCGGACCUUGCGCUAAUAGAUGAGCCUAAGCCAGAUUAGCUAGUUGGUGGGGUAAAGGCCUACCAAGGCGACGAUCUGUAGCGGGUCUGAGAGGAUGAUCCGCCACACUGGGACUGAGACACGGCCCAGACUCCUACGGGAGGCAGCAGUGGGGAAUAUUGGACAAUGGGCGAAAGCCUGGUCCAGCCAUGCCGCGUGUGUGAAGAAGGCCUUUUGGUUGUAAAGCACUUUAAGCGAGGAGGAGGCUACUUAGAUUAAUACUCUAGGAUAGUGGACGUUACUCGCAGAAUAAGCACCGGCUAACUCUGUGCCAGCCGCCGCAGUAAGAC